rnacentral:rRNA from 1 species
CGAAAGCCUGACGGAGCAAUACCGCGUGAGGGAUAAAGCCUUCGGCUUUAUGCCUCUUUUAUCAAGGAGGAAAUUUUGACGUGUACUUGAUGAAUAAGCAUCGGCUAACUCCGUGCCAGCAGCCGCGGUAAGACGGAGGAUGCAAGUGUUAUCCGGAAUUAUUGGGCGUAAAGCGUCUGUAGGUGGUUCGAAAAGUCCAUGGUUAAAACUUGAAGCUUAACUUCAAAGAUGCCAUGGAAACUUUUAAACUUGAGUAUGGUAGGGGUAAAGGGAAUUUCCAGUGGAGCGGUGAAAUGCGUAGAUAUUGGAAAGACCACCGACGGCGAAGGCACUUUACUGGGCCAUUACUGACACUAAGAGACGAAAGCUAGNGGGAGCA